UCCUGUUUCCUUCCAGUUUGCUUCCUGUUCCUGCAGUGUCACUCCAGCCUCAUCUCUUCAUGCAGACAGCAGCAGUUCAUUGCAGUAGUAACAGCCGGACCUAGUUUGCAGCUUUUCCAGCACUCAGAACCAGCUUCAUCUCACCCUGUGAGAGAUGCCUGCACCAGCCAGCUGGUGUCCCUCCUCAGAAGUCUGCAUCCCAGCACUGUGGGGCCUCUUCUUCAAGCUUCUAGGGCUUUAGAGUUAGUUGAUUCAUCAGAUUACUAGUGUCGUUGAGUAUCUCCUUGGUGUAGUAGCAAGGUUGGUAGUAACAUUUCCAGAUAUGGCAUUAUUCAGAGAAAACAAAAGUUAUUUGUCUCUUUCUAUGGCUUUGUUUAGCAAGAAAAGACCUUUUCCCAGGAGCUUCUCAGGAGCAUCCCCUCAUGACUCAGCCAUGAGGGUAGGGUCACAAGCCCAUUCUCAGAUCAGUGUGAAUGGACUGGCCGGGUGCGGUAGCUCACACCUGUAAUCCCAGCAUUUUGGGAGGCUGAGGCAGGCGGAUCAUGAGGUCAGGAGAUCGAGACCAUCCUGGCUAACAUGGUGAAACCUCAUCUCUACUAAAAAUACAAAAAAUCAGCUGGCUGUGGUGGCACUCGCCUGUAGUCUCAAUUACAUGAUUUCAUGAAUAUGACAUCAAAAACACAGGCAACAGAAGCAAAAAUAAAUGGGACUACAUCAAACUUUAAAAUUUCUGCUCAACAAAGGAAAAAAUCCGCAGCAUGAAAAGUCAUCCUGCAAAUGGGAGGAAAUAUUUGCCAACCACAUAUCUGAAAAGGGGAUAAUAAUUGGAAUAUAUUUUAAAAACUCUGACAACCCAAUAACAACCAAAAACUUGAUUUAAAAAUGGGCAAACAACCUAAAUGGGCAUUUCUCCAAAGAAGAUAUACAAAUGGCCAAGAAGCAUAUGGAAGACAUGUUCAACAUCAUUAAUUAAAAGGGAAAAGUAAAUCAAAACCACAAUGAUAUAUCACUUUAUGUCUGUUAGGAUGGAUACUAUUAAAACAAACAAACAAAAAAAACAGAAAAUAACACACGUUGGAGAGGAUGUGGAGAAGUUGGAAUCCUCAUGUACUGUUGGUGGGAAUGUAAAAUGGUGCAGUCACUGUGGAAAACAACAUCGAGUUUCAUCAGAAAUUAAAAAUAGAGGAUUCCAUUCCAAGAUGGCCAAAUAUGAACAGCUCUGGUCUGCAGCUCCCAGCGUGAUUGACACAGAAGAUGGGUGAUUUCUGCAUUUCCAACCAAGGUACCUGCUUCAUCUCAUUAGGACUAGUUGGACAGUGGGUGCAGCCCAUGGGGGGCGAGCCAAAGCAGGGCGGGGCAUCGCCUCACCCAGGAAGGGCAAGGGGUCUGGGGAUUUCCCUUUCCUAGCAAAGGGA
rnacentral:lncRNA from 1 species